CCUACGGGGGGCUGCAGUGGGGAAUAUUGGGCAAUGGGCGCAAGCCUGACCCAGCAACGCCGCGUGAAGGAAGAAGGCUUUCGGGUUGUAAACUUCUUUUGUCAGGGAAGAGUAGAAGACUGUACCUGGCGAAUAAGCCACGGCUAACUACGUGCCAGCAGCCGCGGUAAUACGUAGGUGGCAAGCGUUGUCCGGAUUUACUGGGUGUAAAGGGCGUGUAGCCGGGAAGGCAAGUCAGAUGUGAAAUCUGGAGGCUCAACCUCCAAACUGCAUUUGAAACUGUUUUUCUUGAGUAUCGGAGAGGCAAUCGGAAUUCCUAGUGUAGCGGUGAAAUGCGUAGAUAUUAGGAGGAACACCAGUGGCGAAGGCGGAUUGCUGGACGACAACUGACGCUGAGGCGCGAAAGCGUGGGGAGCAAACAGGCUUAGAUACCCCAGUAGUC
rnacentral:rRNA from 1 species